rnacentral:rRNA from 1 species
GACGAACCGUCCAAACGUUAUUCGGAAUCACUGGGCUUACAGAGUUCGUAGGCGGUCUGGAAAGUUGGGUGUGAAAUCCCUCGGUUCAACCGAGGAACUGCGCUUGAAACUACCAGACUCGAGGGAGAUAGAGGAAAGCGGAACUGAUGGUGGAGCGGUGAAAUGCGUUGAUAUCAUCAGGAACACCGGUGGCGAAGGCGGCUUUCUGGGUCUUACCUGACGCUGAGGAACGAAAGCUAGGGGAGCGAACGGG